UGUGAGUGACAGGAUAGAAAUAGUUAACAGAAUAGAUCCAAGCAUUAUCGCCCUGGUCCAACUUAAGCCCUGGGAACAGUGAAGAAAACACCAGGUGUUAAUGUCCUGGUCCCACCUAAGCCUUGGGAACUGUAAAAAGAGCAAUGAAGGGUAAAGAUCAGUUAGCAAAACAAAGCAGAGGGUUUGUAAGAUAAAGCAGGAUGUGCAUGUCAAAGACAGACCAAACAAUGUGAAUAUUUGUAACCCUUAGCAGUUUUGCUAAAUCGGGAUGAUAAGGAAGCAAGAGAGUGGAAAGUUACUGCUUAGCGCUUAGUAGACUAUAAAAGGGGUGUGAGAUGCGAAAGAAAGGUCUUUAGAUUUCACCAGAA